rnacentral:rRNA from 1 species
AUUGAACGCUGGCGGCAGGCCUAACACAUGCAAGUCGAGCGGAUGAAGGGAGCUUGCUCCUGGAUUCAGCGGCGGACGGGUGAGUAAUGCCUAGGAAUCUGCCUGGUAGUGGGGGAUAACGUCCGGAAACGGGCGCUAAUACCGCAUACGUCCUGAGGGAGAAAGUGGGGGAUCUUCGGACCUCACGCUAUCAGAUGAGCCUAGGUCGGAUUAGCUAGUUGGUGGGGUAAAGGCCUACCAAGGCGACGAUCCGUAACUGGUCUGAGAGGAUGAUCAGUCACACUGGAACUGAGACACGGUCCAGACUCCUACGGGAGGCAGCAGUGGGGAAUAUUGGGCAAUGGGCGAAAGCCUGAUCCAGCCAUGCCGCGUGUGUGAAGAAGGUCUUCGGAUUGUAAAGCACUUUAAGUUGGGAGGAAGGACAGUAAGUUAAUACCUGGCUGUUUUGACGUUACCAACAGAAUAAGCACCGGCUAACUUCGUG